UACGUAGGGGGCUAGCGUUGUCCGGAAUUACUGGGCGUAAAGGGCUCGUAGGCGGCCAACUAAGUCAGACGUGAAAUCCCUCGGCUUAACCGGGGAACUGCGUCUGAUACUGGAUGGCUUGAAUCCGGGAGAGGGAUGCGGAAUUCCAGGUGUAGCGGUGAAAUGCGUAGAUAUCUGGAGGAACACCGGUGGCGAAAGCGACUCUCUGGACGGUAACUGACGCUGAGGCACGAAAGCGUGGGGAGCAAACAGGG
rnacentral:rRNA from 1 species